AUACGGAGGGUGCAAGCGUUACUCGGAAUCACUGGGCGUAAAGCGCGCGCAGGCGGUCUUUUAAGUUGGAUGUGAAAGCCUACGGCUCAACCGUAGAACUGCAUCCAAAACUAUUAGACUAGAGUGUGGGAGAGGAAGAUGGAAUUAGUUGUGUAGGGGUAAAAUCCGUAGAGAUAACUAGGAAUACCAAAAGCGAAGGCAAUCUUCUGGAACACUACUGACGCUGAGGCGCGAAAGCGUGGGGAGCAAACGGGAUUAGAAACCCCAGUAGUCC
rnacentral:rRNA from 1 species